rnacentral:rRNA from 1 species
UACGGGGGGGGCAAGCGUUGUUCGGAAUUACUGGGCGUAAAGGGCUCGUAGGCGGCCAACUAAGUCGGAUGUGAAAUCCCCAGGCUUAACCUGGGAACUGCAUCCGAUACUGGAUGGCUUGAAUCCGGGAGAGGGAUGCAGAAUUCCAGGUGUAGCGGUGAAAUGCGUAGAUAUCCGGAGGAAUACCGGUGGCGAAGGCGGCAUCCUGGACCGGCAUUGACGCUGAGGAGCGAAAGCUAGGGGAGCAAACGGG